UACGUAGGGGGCAAGCGUUGUCCGGAUUUACUGGGCGUAAAGCGCGUGUAGGCGGCCGAGCAGGUCUGUUGUGAAAACUGGAGGCUCAACCUUCAGACGUCGACAGAAACCGCCCGGCUAGAGUCCGGAAGAGGAGAGUGGAAUUCCUGGUGUAGCGGUGAAAUGCGCAGAUAUCAGGAAGAACACCAAUGGCGAAGGCAGCUCUCUGGGACGGUACUGACGCUGAGACGCGAAAGCGUGGGGAGCGAACAGG
rnacentral:rRNA from 1 species